rnacentral:tRNA from 1 species
AAAGUCUUAAGUUAAGUAAACUAGUAGCCUUCAAAGCUGAAAAUAAAAUCUCUUUUUAGGCUUUA